rnacentral:rRNA from 1 species
AUUGAACGCUGGCGGCAUGCCUUACACAUGCAAGUCGAACGGUAACAGGUCUUCGGAUGCUGACGAGUGGCGAACGGGUGAGUAAUACAUCGGAACGUGCCUAGUAGUGGGGGAUAACUACUCGAAAGAGUGGCUAAUACCGCAUGAGAUCUACGGAUGAAAGCAGGGGAUCGCAAGACCUUGUGCUACUAGAGCGGCCGAUGGCAGAUUAGGUAGUUGGUGGGAUAAAAGCUUACCAAGCCGACGAUCUGUAGCUGGUCUGAGAGGACGAUCAGCCACACUGGGACUGAGACACGGCCCAGACUCCUACGGGAGGCAGCAGUGGGGAAUUUUGGACAAUGGGCGAAAGCCUGAUCCAGCAAUGCCGCGUGCAGGAUGGAGGCCUUCGGGUUGUAGACUGCUUUUGUACGGAACGAAAAGCCCCGGGUUAAUACCCUGGGGUCAUGACGGUACCGUAAGAAUAAGCACCGGCUAACUGCGUGCCAGCCGCCGCCGUAA